rnacentral:rRNA from 1 species
UACAGAGGUGCCGAGCGUUAGGCGGAAUCACUGGGCUUAAAGCGUGUGUAGGCGGCCCGUUAAGUGUCUUGUGAAAUCCCCCGGCUCAACCGGGGAACUGCUGGGCAUACUGGCGGGCUUGGGUCGCUCAGGGGCAGACGGAACAGGCGGUGGAGCGGUGAAAUGCGUAGAUAUCGGCUGGAACGCCGAAGGUGAAAACAGUCUGCUGGGGGCGCACCGACGCUGAGACACGAAAGCCAGGGGAGCGAACGGG